rnacentral:lncRNA from 1 species
GUCAGACUGUUUUACCAUGGUUGGCAUCCACCUUGCUGAUCAAGGAUGCUGUGUUUCGGGUGCAAAACCAUCGAAGCCUAUGAGAAUCCUAUCAUCAGCCUUGUGCUCAUCUCCUCCUCCACCCCAGUGGGAGAGCCUGGGAGCAUCUCCUACACCAGAAGUCCCCAAAUCUGCACAGGGAGCCUCCUCCUCAAACUGUCCUCAUGGGGUUUCUGGGAGAAGGAUGACUCACUGAACCAGAACCUGAGAAGGAAAAUGAUUCCUGAUGUUUCACAACAGCAGCAAGGUGUUUCUCAUUUUAGGUAUCUCUACAUGAACAUCUUUUUCUUUUUUCUUGGACUGAUGCUCCACAAAUGUCUCUAGAUGCACUUUUGUCUCUGUUUGAGGCCGGAGACCUUUUGUCCCCCUUUGCAAUUCCAACAAAGAGCACUGUCCAGUCCUCCCUUGCAUGUGCAGUCUGCCCACUACUACUUCAGUUGCCCUUUGCUGCUUUUUGAAAGGAGGCCCCUUGUGACUCUGCGAUUUUGUAAGUUUUUGCUUCAGCUUCUCAAAAGUUAUCUUUUCAUGUGCUUCUUCCAAGAGUCAAAUGCCACCUGAGAGAUGGGCCAGUUUACAUUAAGCGCUUGUGGUACUUUUAAGCCCAGAGCAAGGAGGGUUUGGGACUUUCUGUAGCAAAUCUGCUCAUUCAGGAGGCUGUGGAGGCUGCACCCUGUCCAGGAGGUGGCAUGUCCCAGGGCAGAUGUUUUAGCACCGCUCACUGCACGGACAAAUCCUCCAACACUAGAUGUGGGGCUGGAGAGUGGGGGCACAUUCUCUGAAGAAGCCCACUCCAAAAUAAUAUUUCUCUGACCCACAGCCUCCAUUUUCCUAAAGUAACUGCAUGGCCCUUCUGUCCCUUGGUGACAUUAUGGAGUUUCCAGUCUGUUCUGACUUUGCCUCCUUGCCAACUAUUACACCGAAAUGUUAUUUUUCACUUGCAGAGCAUAUUGCCCCUUUGUCUUCAUGAUAACGAACACAUGCCAGCUCUGCUGCAGGUGUUCCUAGAUAUGAUUCCACCCUGUGUACUUUAUUGCCUUACAUCAGCUCAGCAAGAAUGUCAUUGUCCCUCAGAUACGAGGAACUCCCUCCCAGUGUCUGAGGGCUUGGUAUCUUUAGUUCCCCAUGUCCCCCAGAACAGGGUACGUCCCUCUGGAUGGAGAAGCCCACUUGGUGUGCCAGGCUGAGUGGGGAUGGGUCUCCAGGGGAGCAGGAGCUUCAUGUCUGUUCAAAAUACAAGGCUGACAAAUCUCACAGAG